GGCCUUAUGGUCUAGUAGCAUGAUUCUUCCUUUGGGCGAUGCACAAUUGGAAGAGGUCCUGGGUUCAAUUCCCAGUGAGGCCC